rnacentral:rRNA from 1 species
AUUGAACGCUGGCGGCAUGCUUUACACAUGCCAGUCGAACGGCAGCGCGGGCUUCGGCCUGGCGGCGAGUGGCGAACGGGUGAGUAAUGCAUCGGAACGUGCCCAGUAGUGGGGGAUAGCCCGGCGAAGGCCGUAUUAAUACCGCAUACGACCUGAGGGUGAAAGCGGGGGACCGAAAGGCCUCGCGCUAUUGGAGCGGCCGAUGUCGGAUUAGCUAGUUGGUGGGGUAAAGGCUUACCAAGGCGACGAUCCGUAGCUGGUCUGAGAGGACGACCGGCCACACUGGGACUGAGACACGGCCCAGACUCCUACGGGAGGCAGCAGUGGGGAAUGUUGGACAAUGGGGGCAAACCUGAUCCAGCCAUGCCGCGUGCGGGAAGAAGGCCUUCGGGUUGUAAACCGCUUUUGUUCGGGAAGAAAUCCUCUGGGCUAAUACCCAGGGGGGAUGACGGUACCGGAAGAAUAAGCACCGGCUAACUACGUG